GGGCAAAGGUCUGACCCAAUGUAAAAGAAGCCAAAAAUCCGGCCAGGAUUGGUCUAUCAAAGAAAUUUCAAAAGUAGAUGAUUCAGCGCGUAAUACUAAUAGAUGAUUCCGCGCGUAAUACUAAAAUACUCAAAAUAUGCUAAUUUCACAGGGCUAUAUUUUCCGUAUUUUACAACCAAAUUUGGCCAUUCCAAGAUGUAUUACAGGUUGGUGGGAAUACAAUUGAUAAAAAUUUAGUCUAUGGCUGAAAUCGUCUGUUAACAAUAUCCGAUUUAAUAUAAUAAUAUUAAAAAUCUCACAAUUGUAAAACUACGCACAAUACUCGACUUUUUAAUGGGUAAUGGCAUUGGAACUCAAGUCUGUUUGGAUAGAAAGAACUCGUUAAACUGUAAAACAAGUUAUUGGACAACUUUUCUUUAACUUUUGUCGUUCUUGGGAUAUUUUAGUUUAUUUGAUAUGCAAUCAUAUACGUCACAUGCUGGCAAAAUAUUUUCGAAGAUCGCAUCCGCAAUGGAUCGCACAUGCCAAAGUCCAUACAGCUUACCAAUCAAAAUAGAUGAAAUCAUCAAAAAAUAAACUGGAAUAUCUUCUACUCCUAGCCAGAAAAAUGAAAAACAAUUUUAAUCAAGGCUUCGAUUUAGGAGUUCUUUCACACAAGUAGUAUGUUUACAUACUUAAAUUUUUGUGGCUAAACAACUACAUGAAAAAUACAACUAUAUGAAAAAUAUAAACAGAACUUCGACGUUUCCAGCGAGACCCUUCGUCGAGAAGUUAGUUGGGAGGGCUGGCCGUAGGCACGUCAAAUGCUCGAAGCAAGUUACUUGCAGGUUCAUUUUCCAAAACUUUUAGAAACAGAAGAUUAAAAUAGACUUAUCUUUAACUCCACGCAGACAUGAUAAAGACCUUUAGUCACUAUUGAUUGUAGUAAAUUUUAUUGGAGAAAAUACACGAGGUCGUGAAGGACUGAGCCGGGCCUGCCAACUAUAGAAAUUCGUGGCCCAUCACGGCAUCACGUCCUGAUUUCGCUUUUUUAUGCAGACUACAGGCUCCGAUUAAAAAUAGAUUUCGUGGGGCCUUGGCUUGCAACUUUGAAGUUCAAGAUAAUAUUUUUCAGGUAUAUAUAUAUAUAUAUAUAUAUAUAUAUAUACCUGAUAUUUCAGGUAUAUAUAUAUAUAUAUAUAUAUAUAUAUAUAUAUAUAUAUAUAUAUAUAUAUAUAUAUAUAUAUAUAUAUA